GAUGAACGCUGGCGGCGUGCCUAAUACAUGCGAGUCGAGCGAACAGACGAGGAGCUUGCUCCUCUGACGUUAGCGGCGGACGGGUGAGUAACACGUGGAUAACCUACCUAUAAGACUGGGAUAACUUCGGGAAACCGGAGCUAAUACCGGAUAAUAUAUUGAACCGCAUGGUUCAAUAGUGAAAGACGGUUUUGCUGUCACUUAUAGAUGGAUCCGCGCCGCAUUAGCUAGUUGGUAAGGUAACGGCUUACCAAGGCAACGAUGCGUAGCCGACCUGAGAGGGUGAUCGGCCACACUGGAACUGAGACACGGUCCAGACUCCUACGGGAGGCAGCAGUAGGGAAUCUUCCGCAAUGGGCGAAAGCCUGACGGAGCAACGCCGCGUGAGUGAUGAAGGUCUUCGGAUCGUAAAACUCUGUUAUUAGGGAAGAACAAAUGUGUAAGUAACUAUGCACGUCUUGACGAUACCUAAUCAGAAAGCCACGGCUAACUACGUG
rnacentral:rRNA from 1 species